GUGGGGAAUCUUAGACAAUGGGGGAAACCCUGAUCUAGCCAUGCCGCGUGAGCGAUGAAGGCCUUAGGGUUGUAAAGCUCUUUCAGCUGGGAAGAUAAUGACGGUACCAGCAGAAGAAGCCCCGGCUAACUCCGUGCCAGCAGCCGCGGUAAUACGGAGGGGGCUAGCGUUGUUCGGAAUUACUGGGCGUAAAGCGCACGUAGGCGGAUAUUUAAGUCGGGGGUGAAAUCCCGGGGCGCAACCCCGGAACUGCCUUCGAUACUGGAUGUCAUGAGGUCGAGAGAGGUGAGUGGAAUUCCGAGUGUAGAGGUGAAAUUCGUAGAUAUUCGGAGGAACACCAGUGGCGAAGGCGGCUCACUGGCUCGAUAAUGACGCUGAGGUGCGAAAGCGUGGGGAGCAAACAGGAUUAGAAACCCGAGUAGUCC
rnacentral:rRNA from 1 species